UUGAAUAACAAUAUAUUAUAAACAAAAUCAAUAGACCAACGGGAAGAUGGAACAAUACAAAGAGUUGGUACAAAUAAAUAUAAAAGGGAGAAAAAAUACUAUCAAUAUCAACAAACCAAAACACAAAGCACAUCAAAAAAGACAAGUGCUUGCUUACUGAUCAACAACCAUGAAAAAAGAUGAUAACUAAACUCUUGAAUCUAGACAUCACCAAGAAAAUCAAUAAACCUUGAUAUCUUCGCACAGCAAGUAUGCCAAGUUCCUGUGAAGUCUUGAUUUAUAAAGGGGUAAAAGCAACACCAGGGGCAAUAUCGUCAAGUAUCGGACAAAACAGUCUUCUCUCACAAAAGUAGGAACUUUUCACCCAACAGAAAAACAAUAAAGCCACACCAAAUGCAAAAUGGUCCACAACAUAUUAAAAGGGAGGAUAUGUUUUCAAGUUCUCCACUAAAUAGAAGAAAUAAAAAAUGAUUAUUAACUUUAUAAGUCUAAAAUGUAAAACAUUUAAAGCAACAUAAAAAUUCAUUAUGACACUAUUAUGUGAAUAAGAUUAGUAAGAUGAGGCACCAAUAACUUUACUGAUUAAUUUUUUAAAUCAUCGUAUAUUUGUUUUUACUUUACAAACUGAUUAUCAUUAUUGUAAAAACUCCAAGAUAACAGUGUAAUUGCAAGAAUUCUCGUUAGUCUGCAAUGAAAACCACUUAUUCUAGCUAAGAAACAAAGAAAUUGUUUCAAAAUCUGCAAGAGACCAUGGUUUGAAAAGUCAACAGCAAAUAAAAGAUCAACCUCUGAUGGUCUAUUGCCUCUAGUUUGCUUUAUUUUCACAAGCAUCAGUGAUAAAACAAAGGAAAAUGAAAUUGCUUUUGAUCAACUAAAUUUACACCUAAUUAUGUUAGAUUUUGAAUGAUCUAUAAAUCUAACAAAAGAAAUUAAGCAAUCUCAUCUUGAAAACAUAGCUAAAACACAGAAAAACAAAAACCUGUCAUAAAUAAUUAUUAUAUUUUAUUAUCUAAACUACAUAGAACAAACAAUCUGCCAACAAACUGAAGGAUUAUAAAGUAAAGCAAAGUAAUAAAAAUUACCAGUAAACAUCAUUAAUAUUCCACCAAAUACUCUGCAGAUGAAAACACAAUCGAAUUUGGGGCUUUCACUAACCAAAAAAUCCAUGAUUUAUAAAACUCUUCAAACAGAACCCUGUAACCCAAAAAUUGUAAUGAAGAGUUAAUGGAAAUAAGAGACCAGUCUAGUAAUCAUCAGAUUUCAUCAAAUUGUUUGCUUCCACAAAAAAAUCAUGUUUUCAAGUUCUCCACUAAAUAGAAGAAAUAAAAAACGAUGUUGUCAAAAAAAAUGUCAGCGCCAUAAUUGAAGAAAAACACUAAAGCCACACCAAAUGCAAAAUGAAGAGUUAAUGGAAACAAGAGACCAGUCUAGUAAUCAUCAGAUUUCAUCAAAUUGUUUGCUUCCACAAAAAAAUCAUGUACUUAGAAGCCUUUGUAACUCAAUUGGUGAAGGAUAUUGUAAGCAUCCCCUAAUAAGAUAGCAAAUUUGGAAACUAUAACAACCUUUACAUUUGUUUUUUCCACAUCCCUAAAAAUGAGAUAAAAAUCCCAAUUAGAAAACUUUUUUCAAGGAAAAUGGUUUAGGAUUAACAUUCAACCAUUGGUAUUAAAAUCCUAAAGUGUGUGAGUCUGUGAUUACAAAAUGGAAAAACAGAGGCAUAACUUGGUGGUGGUGAGGACUAAAAUACACCGGCAUUUAUAUCAAAAUUAUCAUCUGGAACAACAUAACAACAACCUGAAAUUCAUACAUAGCAAAAGUUUUCAUCAAAAAAUACAAAAAAAAAACCUAAAUCGAUCUGUAUUAAUUAAUGAAGAAGCAUGAAAAAUCUCACUUGUUUCUAUAGAUCGAGACACAAAACAGAUGAGAUUGAGGUGGUCCAACAGUGGCAUCUAAGGUUUGCGACAAAGACAAUAACGUCUAGGGUUUACAGUGACAGAGAGGCAGAGUGACGAUGGUCAUAGUGAUGGCGUUUAGGCUGUGCGGCGGAUUGUGAACGAAAAAGAUGGAUGGAGUAGAGAUUAGGUCUUGAUUGUGAGAGGAAUACAUGGUUUGGGUGUACACAAGUGAGAAGGGAUCAAAGAGAACAGGUUCUGGGCUAGUUUGCGAAAAUAUACCAAAAAUCUAGAGCAGUGGUCGAAGAAGAGGAAGAAGAAAGGACUGUGGUCCUUAUUUAAAAGCUUACCUGCAGGGUGGCAACUGGAGAGCAGCGGUUUGUGGCCGUAUCUGACUCUAAAGAGUAGUCAGUGGUGUUAGAUUUUCAGACAUCGAUGGAGAUCGUUAGUAUGUUUGGGUGUACAUUAUGAAUCUAGGGUUUUCAAAGAGAACGUCAGAAUGGAAAAGGUGAGAGACGGCGACGUUAGGGAGUGGUGGUAUGGCACGAUUUUAUAGAGAGGAGUUGUGGAAUGAAAACAUGAGAUCGUUCCAUUUCAGUUCAAAAUAAAUGGGGAAGAGUCGAAAUUUUAGGCGCGCCAGGUCAAAUACUCAAAUUGAACCGGUAAGCAUGGAUAUACAAGGGAGGCGGUGUAAAAAUUAACCAAAUAUUUAAAAUUUUGGAUUCCGC
rnacentral:lncRNA from 1 species